rnacentral:rRNA from 1 species
CCCUUAGAUGUUCUGGGCCGCACGCGCGCUACACUGACGAAUUCAACGAGUUUAUAACCUUGACCGAGAGGUCUGGGUAAUCUUUUGAAAUUUCGUCGUGAUGGGGCUAGAUUAUUGCAAUUAUUAAUCUUAAACGAGGAAUUCCUAGUAAACGCAAGUCAUCAGCUUGCAUUGAUUACGUCCCUGCCCUUUGUACACACCGCCCGUCGCUCCUACCGAUUGAAUGGUCCGGUGAAGCGUUCGGACCGUGGCCUUUGGACGGUUCGCCGUCUGUUGGCUGCGGGAAGUUCGUUAAACCUUAUCAUUUAGAGGAAGGAGAAGUCGUAACA